rnacentral:lncRNA from 1 species
UUGUUGUAACAUUAUAUAGAUGUAACUUGAUACUAUAUAUAUAUAUAUAUAUAUAUAUGUUGUCUUUGCUGAAGUGCAUUCCAUCCCCUCUACUCUGAACGCUUCAUACUCUCUCUUUGGUUUACAUGGAUAACUUAUGGGACUCUUGAAGCAACCACACCAGCAUCAUGAAGACACACCGGAAAAAAAUACAUCAAUUAGUCCCAAGGGUUUGAAUUUUAUUUUGAAAGGAAAGAUGGUUAAUGUGUGAAAGAAAUAUUGAAUCUUUUAAUGUUUAUACAUUCUGUCAAGUUGUAAAUAUAAUUUAACAAAAAGGUUCUCAUGUUUAUUCAAGAAUUGUCUAUCCAUUAUAUAUUGAGUAGUGCUUGAAGCAAUCACACCAGCAACAUGUUAUAUUCAACUUUAAAUUUUGUAUUCUAGACACACAUUUAAAAAAGAUA